rnacentral:rRNA from 1 species
GCCUAACACAUGCAAGUCGAACGGAGAAAUUAUUUCGGUAAUUUCUUAGUGGCGAACGGGUGAGUAACACGUAAACAACCUGCCUUUUAGAUGGGGACAACAUCUCGAAAGGGAUGCUAAUACCGAAUGUUUUAGCUUUAUCGCAUGAUAGAGCUAAUAAAGGUGGCCUCUAUUUAUAAGCUACCGCUAAAAGAGGGGUUUGCGUCUGAUUAGCUAGUUGGUAGGGUAACGGCCUACCAAGGCAAUGAUCAGUAGCCGGUCUGAGAGGAUGAACGGCCACACUGGGACUGAGACACGGCCCAGACUCCUACGGGAGGCAGCAGUGGGGAAUCUUCCGCAAUGGGCGAAAGCCUGACGGAGCAACGCCGCGUGAACGAAGAAGGUUUUCGGAUCGUAAAGUUCUGUUCUUAGAGACGAAAGAUGCGAUUGUGAAUAAUGAUCGUAAGUGACGGUAACUAAGGAGCAAGCCACGGCUAACUACGUG